AGAGUUUGAUCCUGGCUCAGGAUGAACGCUAGCGGCAGGCUUAAUACAUGCAAGUCGAGGGGCAGCGGGAGUAGCAAUACUUGCCGGCGACCGGCGCACGGGUGCGUAACACGUAUACAAUCUGCCUCUAACAGGGGAAUAGCCCGGAGAAAUUCGGAUUAAUACCCCAUAACAAAUGAGAUGGCAUCAUUUUAUUUUGAAAGCUACGGCGGUUAGAGAUGAGUAUGCGUCUGAUUAGCUAGUUGGUGAGGUAACGGCUCACCAAGGCGACGAUCAGUAGGGGAUCUGAGAGGAUGACCCCCCACACGGAUACUGAGACACGGAUCCGACUCCUACGGGAGGCAGCAGUAAGGAAUAUUGGACAAUGCCCGCAAGGGUGAUCCAGCCAUGCUGCGUGCAGGAAGACGGCCCUAUGGGUUGUAAACUGCUUUUGUACCGGAGAAAACCUUUCCCUGCGGGGAGAGCUGAUCGUACGGUGAGAAUAAGCAUCGGCUAACUUCGUGCCAGCAGCCGCGGUAAGACGAAGGAUGCAAGCGUUAUCCGGAUUCAUUGGGUUUAAAGGGAGCGUAGGCGGUCUAAUAAGUCAGUGGUGAAAUCUCUCGGCUUAACUGAGAAAUGGCCAUUGAUACUGUUGGACUUGAGUACAGAUGCCGUUGGCGGAAUAUGACAUGUAGUGGUGAAAUACAUAGAGAUGUCAUAGAACACCGAUUGCGAAGGCAGCUGACGAAACUGUAACUGACGCUGAGGCUCGAAAGUGUGGGGAUCAAACAGGAUUAGAUACCCUGGUAGUCCACACUGUA
rnacentral:rRNA from 1 species